AAAAAAGCUGGUUAAUACAAAAUCAGUUCAAGACCAAAAUAGUCUCUAUAACAGUGUUUGUUAAAAGUGAGUUCUGUUUUCUCAGAUAUUUUAUUAAAUAUAAAUCAUGCAUGUAAAACAUAAAAAAUGCAGGUCACAGUGCGGUGUGACUUUGAAAUGUUAAUGUAAGCUUCAAAGUCAAAUGCAAACUCUUGGUUCUCAGAACCAUCUAAUUUAGAGAGCUGAAACACAGCACAGAAGUUCUAGCUGCCAGAAGUGUAACCUCCAGUAGCCUCCACUUGAUGCUCAGCAGGAGACAGACAGCCAAUGGAGACAUGGCCCCCCUCCAUGCAACCUCAAUCUUUCCCUUAGUCCAUAGUCUCUGACUUCCCUUCCCCUCCAGCAAGGGUGAGUGAUGUCAGUCAAGAAAAGAUUGGCUGAGUGAAAAACUUGAACUUCGCGAUGGAAUAGAGAUUUUUUUUUUUUUUACUUUGUGGGGGUGACGGAACACUAGUUGUUGGUUGUAGUAACCCUUUAAACUCACAAGAACUAAACCAGUGCCUUCCGCUCAGAUCUAGAAACUUUGUUUCUUUUAUUGGUUGACACCUGACCUCCAGCGAUACAAAUAUAUUCAAAUAGACCAGGCUUACAAAUUCCUCAAAUAAGAGAUAUUAUAAUAGUUGCUUACACAGUUUUUACAGAUAUGCCCAGCAAGGAAGAUCCUCUCCUGAAAAACAAAAAAAAUUCUAUCUUCUGUAAGAGCCAAUUUAAGUUUUUCUAUUGCUUAUAUGGUGAGUGCUAUCAAGACAUGUUCCAGCAAUGCAAGCCACACUCUAGAAUAGUUUAUUAAGCUCAAAUGUACUGAGCUCAAACUUAGUAAAUAAUAACAGCAUGCUGAAAUAACACAUAAAAACAUAACUGAUAAUAGUUCCAGAUGAUUUAUCUCCACACGUUUUCUAAACUUGUAUUCAGAAAGCCAGUUGAUUAUUGUGAUUAUCUAUUAUGACUGUGAUUCCUCUCUUAUAUGGAUAAAAAAUUUGUGCCCUCCUUAAGUAGAACAAGAAGGCUCUGAGAAACAGAAAAUUGCAUUUGAGACCUUUUUUGAAAUACUACUGCAUGAUGACCUAUUUUUUUUUUUUUUUAUAUGUAUAUAUUUACAUUCAUAGUACAGUAUAAUAGGUAUAAUAAGCUAGAUCGAAUACAAAAAAUGGAAACGACAACUACGUUAUUAAAGUGAAAAAAUCUUCAUGACAUCUGUGAAAAAAAAUCGACGUUUCGACCCCUAAGGGUCUUUCUCAAGAUCUGCUCCUGACAACGGAGUUUAGAACACCGAAACGCGCGUCGAGCUUCUUCUUAUUAUUUUUUUGUUUUUCGUUCACUAGGUAGCACGGAUUUAUGGAUCACUUAAUUUACAUUUUGAUUUAGCUAUCUGGACAGGAAGGGAAAGGGAACUUGUGUCUGUUCACAGUGCCAAGGUAUAUAGGGAUAGAAGCUCUUUUCAUUAGUGGCUUUUAUUCAGGGCUGGGUUUUUUUUCCUUCUUAGGAGGUGUCUAGCUAUAUCCCCUUAUAAGCCUAGUUGUGUUUUCCUCUAUCCACCUGUUUUAUCUAUACAGUUAUUUGGAUUAGCCUGGAUAUAUUUUUGAGCUGGAUAGUAGUUUGGGUCUGGAUGUUUCUUUAUACACCAUUCUUUCCACCCUGGUUUUCCCACUUUUUCCUGUCCUUUUACUGUUUUUACCAUUAGGAUUAUUAAAGGUAGGGACUCUUUCUCAAUUAUUCUUCUACUUAGGACCUUUUGGUUCUACUUUUUUCUUUUCUUUCUUAUAUUAUAUUAUCUGUUCAUAUAUACAAGAGCGCUUUUAUGAAACAACGUAUGAUUGUGUGUGAAACCAAAACCUGUGAUCCCCUCAUUCUUCGAAAUACUUGUAAGACGUUGAAUAAAUCCAUCACAGUGCUUUACAUAUGCUUCCAGUUUUACAGCUAGGAUGAUGCAGGUGGCUAAGGGGCACAGGCAUGGUGUUGCCACAGGUACUUCGCAUGUAGGUAUGCUAGCUGAACAACUUAUACCUGCACAGUCUGAAUGUGCUGAUAUCGACAAGGAUAGGCCUCGGGCUCCACAUUCAGUACAUCAAGGCCAGUAUACCCCAGCUGAUUCAUAGAAUCCACUAAAAGAGAAAAAAAUUAUUGAGGAUAAAGUCACCCAGGUGAUCUGUGAUGUCAAUAUGAGAAUUAUCCAAGUGUCAACACUCUUCCUUGAGUGCUUAAACUAUGCAUAACAUCAAGCAGAGCACUAUUUACCACACAGAUGGGAGCACUUAAAGGACCACUAUAGACACCCAGACCACUUCAGCUUAAUAAAGUGGUCUGGGUGCCAGGUCGAGCUAGG
rnacentral:lncRNA from 1 species